AAUGUCCAAGUACCCUCCCAUUCGUUUCGUUCCAAUCACUUCUCCCCGGGCUCUCACACCAUUUUAGAUCAGACAGCAAGCUAAAAAGACUCGUCUUUCACAGAGGAAACACCCAAUGUCCUACCUUGCGACCUUUCAGAUUUGAUUUCUUCCGACACUUCAGCAUUGACAGCGACGCCACCCACGGCACCGAGCGCUCUGCAAACUGCAAUACCUCAACUCUACCAGAUAACAAGUCUCCAACAGAUCCAACGAUUUUUACAAGCAAGGGCCACAACACCACAAGUUCACAUACCAGCCAUUUCCCCCAAUACCAUACCAAUCCCUCCAACGCCACGAAUCCACGCAUUCGUCUCCAUCGAAGCUAUCGAGCCGUACACCUACGCGACUAUUUAUAUCCCAAUGCUGUUCACCGAACUCCUUGUUCCGUUGCGCUUUGCUGCUAUAAGCCGAUCUUUAGAGAGAGCCAGGCAGAAUCUGCCUCUCUCGUCUUCAUAGUUUACCAACAAGUUGCAACAACCAAGGCCAACUCUCAACCUCCGUUACGCCAUUUUGUUCUCGCUCUAUGUCUUUUUGACCCCUCUAUAUGUUGGAUAACAGCGCAAAAAUGCAUCCCCAGAAGAAGAAAUGUUGUCUGAACCUACUAUAGACUGCAGACACAUGUGCAGUACGAGCCUCAGUCGUCUGUUAGAUCAAUCUCAACCUUGCCGUCUUCCAACCGCCGCUUUUUGUAGCGGGAAGCGAACAGAGCUGCGUCCAUGGGCUCUCUCUUGAUACCACGGGCUUCGACGGCAAGUUCGGGCUUGAUACGCUUAAUACGCUGCCACAAAACAUUCUGCAGUUAGCCCAGCUUGUUGUGCUUUGGCACAGUAGAUCUAGAGAAGACAAGAGAAAUGCGUACCAUGAACUCUUCCUC